rnacentral:rRNA from 1 species
GGCGUAAAGAGAAUGUAGGCGGGUAAUUAAGUCAGAAGUGAAAUCCAAUAGCUCAACUAUUGAACUGCUCUUGAAACUGAUAACCUAGAAUAUGGGAGAGGUAGAUGGAAUUUC